AAGGAACCUGACUUUGCGGUCCACUGAGCCAAUGGCAAGCAAGUUCCCACCACUGUAGUGGAUUACCCUGUGUGGAUCUGACCUGGUGAAACUAAUUCUGGAGGAAGGCACGCAUAAGAGGGGCAGAAUCGAACCCUGAAAUUUGGACACAAAUCGUGACAGUUUCCAGCCGUGCGCCAGAAUCAGUAGUGCUGGACUCCAACAGCUCUUCUCCAGCCAACGGCCAAUGGAAGAUGGACGAAGUGCAUUGCUUUGCUUUGCUGGUGGUGAACAGUGAUAGUGAAUCACUGAUUGCGGUGUAGAAAGAGAGGAGGCGAAAACCUCAGGCUGCUGGUUCCUCUUCUUCCACUUCAGUCUCCAGGCUGCCCCCAUUGGACUUUGCUGCUCACCCUUCACUCGGGUGGAUCCUGGUGCAUCUAGACCAAACCAAGGAUGAGGCUACCUGGCUCCUUCUCUCUUCCCGGAGAUGGAAGAUGUGAUGUUGCACUCCAUAAUGCUUUAUAAAAGUAUGUUUAUAAAUGUGAAUAUGAUGUAACUUGAAUAUGCUUUAGGCAAAAGAUCUCUCGUAAGGUAUCAUUACAAAGCUUAUAAUCUACUAAGUCUGUUCAUCCUAUUUGUAUGAAUGUAUCAUUAUUGUAUGUGAAACUAGGAAUGUGUAGCACAACUCUGAGGUCCUAUUGUAAUUAUGCAAAGUGUGGGCCAUGAAUGGUGGUUUAGAAUCUUGAUGGCUCCCUUUGUCUAGGACAAUUGACUGUACAUGGCUCUGUUUACCUGCAUACCUGCAGGCCAGUCAUGAAGAAAUCCCCUAGUUACCACCUGAGCUGGACUAACAAGGAUUGUACCAGGGGA